GAUUACUGACCGUUACAGAAAAUUUCCCUCUGGCCUAUUUCAGCUGAAGACACAACGGAAGCUCGUGUCCAUGCAAGAGCAUUAACACACCCUCAGCUCCUGGGAGGCAGAGGCAUCAUCAGGGACCACAUUCCGGGUGCCCAGUACAGCCCUGGGUCCCCGCGGGCCCUGGGUAAGCGCCUGUCGCAUGAAUGAGUUCCGCGGUUACACCGGCCGUCAGCGCUGCGCGGCUUCUAGUGAGCCGGCCCAGAAAAGUCGAGCUGAGCCACUGAGAAGCAGGACCAGCCUUCACUCAACAAAACAUGAGGACAAGGGAAAUCCUGUUAAAGGCCCCAGCCGUAGUCCGCUCAGUAUGGGGUGAAGAAAGAGGCUGUAAACUCAGCACUUGAAGCUUUCACCCAGGACUCCAUGUUGCAAGUGACAGGAAACCCAGUGCCUACUGGCUAAACCAGAAUCUGGAAAUACAACGGCUCACGUCACAGGAAGGUCCAGUGGCCGUUCCCACUUCAGCUGUAGCUCAGACGCGAUCACCGUGACGUGGAUUCCCUCCCUCCAUCUCUCGGCUUUGCUUCUCCUGCAGUGGUUCUGUCCCCUGGGGCAGCCGUUCCGUGGUAAAACCUGGCUCAUGACAAAGAGAAAGCCUCUUUGCUGUCACCUGCGGCAAGACGUCAGAGCUGCAUCUUGGUCACUUGCUCAGCCCCGAGCCUGUUGCUUUGACCAGGGAAGCGCAGUGAAUGAUGAGC